rnacentral:tRNA from 1 species
UCCCUGGAGGACUAGUGGUUAGGCCACAGUGCUCUCACCACUACAGUCCAGGUUCGAUCCCUGCCCAGGGAA